UCCGAUGCGAAGGCAGCUACUGGACUGUAACUGACGCUGAUGCUCGAAAGUGUGGGUAUCAAACAGGAUUAGAUACCCUGGUAGUCCACACAGUAAACGAUGAAUACUCGCUGUUUGCGAUAUACAGCAAGCGGCCAAGCGAAAGCAUUAAGUAUUCCACCUGGGGAGUACGCCGGCAACGGUGAAACUCAAAGGAAUUGACGGGGGCCCGCACAAGCGGAGGAACAUGUGGUUUAAUUCGAUGAUACGCGAGGAACCUUACCCGGGCUUAAAUUGCAACUGACGGAUUUGGAAACAGAUCUUCCUUCGGGCAGUUGUGAAGGUGCUGCAUGGUUGUCGUCAGCUCGUGCCGAGAGGUGUCGGCUUAAGUGCCAUAACGAGCGCAACCCUUAUCU
rnacentral:rRNA from 1 species